ACGUGGGCGCCUGUAGGAAUCCGAGGUCACCAGAGCUCUGGAUCGGCAACAUAAUAUAUUCUCUUUUCUCACGGCGAUGGCGACCUACGACGUUUCCUCUCAUUGCAGAGAUCUUUCUACGCGUUGCCGCCCCUGGCCACCGUACUAAGGUGAGCCUUAGUAGGUUUUCCGAUCCUCCGACGGGAGUCGCAUUUGCUCACGAGGUAUUUUUCGAGACAGAAUGACUGGGAGGAUGCCAGGGCUUAUUGUGCUGUUUGAUGUAGAUGGUACACUCACGGCUCCCAGAAAGGCUAUAACUCCGAAGAUGCUACAAUUUAUGCAAGACCUACGAAAGGUAGUUACAGUUGGUGUCGUUGGAGGGUCUGAUCUGGUUAAAAUAUCAGAACAACUUGGGAAGUCAGUUAUCAGUGACUAUGAUUAUGUCUUUGCUGAAAAUGGUCUUGUUGCUUACAAAAAUGGUGAACUUAUUGGCAAACAGAACUUCAAAUCUUUUCUCGGUGAAGAAAAACUCAAGGAAUUGAUUAAUUUCACGCUCCAUUAUAUUGCUGACCUGGAUAUCCCAAUCAAAAGGGGAACAUUCAUAGAGUUCAGAAGUGGAAUGCUGAAUGUUUCUCCAAUAGGACGCAAUUGUAGCCAAGAGGAACGUGAUGAGUUUGAGAAGUAUGAUAAAGUUCACAACAUCCGGUCAAAAAUGGUCUCCGUACUUCGCGAAAAGUUUAAACAUUUGAAUCUCACUUUUUCUAUUGGGGGACAGAUAAGUUUUGAUGUAUUCCCCCAAGGCUGGGAUAAGACCUACUGUUUACGGUACCUUGAAGAUUUCCCUGAAAUCCACUUUUUUGGUGACAAGACAUACAAGGGCGGAAAUGAUUAUGAGAUCUACGAGUCUGAAAGGACAGUGGGCCAUACAGGGGAGAAACAUUAUCCUAUUAACAAGCAGGGGAUUGUCUUCUUUUCUUGGAUUAUUCAAGAAAGUAUGGUAGAUUUUCUGUGGUGCAAACGGCUUGUUUUCAUGGGAGGCAAUCGUGUGUCUUUCCAUUCUGCCAUUGUUGCUCGGAAAAUUGUUCCUUUACCCAGAGUAAAACAUCUUUCAGUAGAAAGUAUUAAAAUUUCUUCUUGAUCUACAAUCGUUGCAUAUUCUUCCUGAACCAUCUUUUGCUGGGAGUCAAUAAGAUAGUAACCAGCCCUGAUGACACAGCUGAGCAGUGUAAACUCCACUUCCUAGCAAAGCAAGCUGGAGAUGCCUAAGUUAUAUUCCUUUCAUUGCCUGUUCUUAUGUUUCUAUUUUUAGUAAUUUGAAAUAAUUUGGCCUAUGAUGGCCAUUGUAUGCCUAUCUUUGUGUGUAAUAUGCCAUAAAAAAUAAUUAUUUUAUUUGCAAUAAGGAACUAUAUUCCUAGGCUUGCAUUUAA